rnacentral:rRNA from 1 species
AACGAACGCUGGCGGCAGGCCUAACACAUGCAAGUCGAGCGGACCCUUCGGGGUUAGCGGCGGACGGGUGAGUAACGCGUGGGAAUAUGCCCUUCUCUACGGAAUAGUGCUGGGGAACUGGGGGUAAUACCGUAUACGCCCUUUGGGGGAAAGAUUUAUCGGGGAAGGAUUAGCCCGCGUUGGAUUAGGUAGUUGGUGGGGUAAUGGCCUACCACGCCGACGAUCCAUAGCUGGUUUGAGAGGAUGAUCAGCCACACUGGGACUGAGACACGGCCCAGACUCCUACGGGAGGCAGCAGUGGGGAAUCUUAGAAAAUGGGGGCAAUCCUGAUCGAGCCAGGCCGCGUGAGUGAUGAAGGCCGUAGGGUUGUAAAGCUCGUUCAGCUGGGAAGAUAAUGACGGUACCAGCAGAAGAAGCCCCGGCUAACUCCGUG